rnacentral:rRNA from 1 species
GAUGAACGCUGGCGGCGUGCCUAAUACAUGCAAGUCGAGCGAAUGGAUUAAGAGCUUGCUCUUAUGAAGUUAGCGGCGGACGGGUGAGUGACACGUGGGUAACCUGCCCAUAAGACUGGGAUAACUCCGGGAAACCGGGGCUAAUACCGGAUAACAUUUUGAACCGCAUGGUUCGAAAUUGAAAGGCGGCUUCGGCUGUCACUUAUGGAUGGACCCGCGUCGCAUUAGCUAGUUGGUGAGGUAACGGCUCACCAAGGCAACGAUGCGUAGCCGACCGGAGAGGGGGAUCGGCCACACUGGGACUGAGACACGGCCCAGACUCCUACGGGAGGCAGCAGUAGGGAAUCUUCCGCAAUGGACGAAAGUCUGACGGAGCAACGCCGCGUGAGUGAUGAAGGCUUUCGGGUCGUAAAACUCUGUUGUUAGGGAAGAACAAGUGCUGGUUGAAUAAGCUGGCACCUUGACGGUACCUAACCAGAAAGCCACGGCUAACUACGUGCCAGCCGCCGCAGUAA